ensembl:lncRNA
AAAAAAUCUGUAGAUACAGAUGUGGGUAACGUGCAUAAACCGGUGUAGCCUCUUUCAGUUUGGGAAGGGGUUAGGUGAAAUUCUCUGUGUUCCAGUACAAUGGAACCUCUGCUGAGUACUGCAGUUCUUCUGAGGUUGGGAUGGAGAAUGAAGUGGGAAGGAAGCAGAGUGGCUCCAGUUCCUGGAAUUCCAGCAUGAUUUGAGCACUUCAGAUUGUGUUGCAACAAAGUUAGUUCUGGCAUUCCCUUGCAGAGAGUGAUUUGAAAACCUGACUCACAACCAUCCUACAGACGCAGAAACAAAAAAGAAUCUGGAGCACUGUGUAAACGAGGGAAGAGAGAUGUACCAUUAGUGCAGCGUGCACAUGAGAUGCAGCAAGACACUGCACUAGAAUCGCCCCAGGACUCUGUUAAAGAAAAGCAG